rnacentral:lncRNA from 1 species
UAUAUAAAUAAAUAAAAUUGUUUUAUCAUAAACUAUUGAUUUUAUUGAUCUUAAUUUUAUUAUGGUAAAAUUUCAUUGUCAAGGACAGAAAUCUUGGUUUUAAUAUUAUGUCUAUGGAAAAUUGACUCUCUGUUUAUAAGUUCUUACUUUACAAGUCCACAUCAGGAACAAAUUAGCUUGUAAAAUUAGAAACUUCCUGUAUAUGAUAUUUCAGUACUACAAAGAUCUAAAUACUUCUCACAGGGACAGAAAUUAUGUUGAACCAAAGAGAAAAGUUCAGUGCCUACAAAAACAACCAUGCACACUCAACUCAACCAUUAUUCUAAUAACACAAUCUCCAUAUCAUUCCAAAAUUUAUCUAAUGGAUUUUAAAAUUAUGAAUCUUUCUUGCUCUUUAAAAUGUCAUAAAGAUGCUAUACAGAUUAGAUAUUUUAGAGAUAGUAUAUUAAUAUGUAUUAUAAGCUGAAGAAAGUAUUA